GAUGAACGCUGGCGGCGUGCCUAAUACAUGCAAGUCGAGCGAACAGAUAAGGAGCUUGCUCCUUUGACGUUAGCGGCGGACGGGUGAGUAACACGUGGGUAACCUACCUAUAAGACUGGGAUAACUUCGGGAAACCGGAGCUAAUACCGGAUAACAUUUGGAACCGCAUGGUUCUAAAGUGAAAGAUGGCUUUGCUAUCACUUAUAGAUGGACCCGCGCCGUAUUAGCUAGUUGGUAAGGUAACGGCUUACCAAGGCAACGAUACGUAGCCGACCUGAGAGGGUGAUCGGCCACACUGGAACUGAGACACGGUCCAGACUCCUACGGGAGGCAGCAGUAGGGAAUCUUCCGCAAUGGGCGAAAGCCUGACGGAGCAACGCCGCGUGAGUGAUGAAGGGUUUCGGAUCGUAAAACUCUGUUAUUAGGGAAGAACAAAUGUGUAAGUAACUGUGCACGUCUUGACGGUACCUAAUCAGAAAGCCACGGCUAACUACGUG
rnacentral:rRNA from 1 species